CUUGUACCUCAGGUAGAAUCUGGUUGUAAAUCCAUAUGGUCCAAUGGGCUUUUUUUGGUUAUUAGGUUCUUUAUUGCUGCCUCAGUUUUAGAAUUUGUUAUUGGUCUAUUCAGGAAUUCUACUUCUUCCUAGUUUAUUCUUGUGAGGAUGUGUUUGUCCAGGAAUUUAU